GCUUAAUUCAUUUGCACUGUGAAUUUAUGAAUAAAUUUAAUGAAUAAAUUGAAUUCCAUUUCAGUAUUUGACAUAAAAGAGUGACAUUGUUUGUAUUUUAUAUAGUUUGAAAUAAUCUGCUCUAUUAAAGGUAAAUUACAAAAACUUAUUUCCCUGUAGUGGAAAAUUCUACUUUAUAAAGUUUCCAGCGACUUAACCUACCCUUGUUUUUUGUUGAAAUAUUCUAUUUUUAUAACACUUUAGUACCAACUACUUACCUAAAAUCACAGAGGGGAACUUGCUGCCACAGAAAUAGUUUAAUUAGCCGAAUAGAGAAAGUUUUGAAGUUUUCCUCAGUGACAUUCAGCAGUACUUUCCCUUUAAGAUGAUUAAGUCAGAGGAAUGAAAUGACUGCUGUUCUAUAGACAGUGUGACACAACCGUGGGAGAAAGAGGGCGAGAAACCAACAGUGCAGACGGUGGUCAAAUCAUAGUGCUUCUUUUACAGAAACGUAUCCAGAUGUCCUGGAGAAGAUGAGAGACCCUGUGUCAGCAGUAAGGAGACCUCUCACCUACCAUCAUCUCUUGGAAAGCGAAAGCAGAACAAAGGCUUUUUCUUUAAGGGGAAAUCUACAUCUGUCCCUGGCUGCCAUACAAGUACUGUGUGUGGACAUUCCAUGAGCAGAGUAUUAAAGUGUCCAGAGCUCACCCGCAGGAGACAGGAGAGUCAUAUACGAGGAGCCUUUACAAGUCACCGACAGCUGAUAGUGAGAGAUGCUGAAGUGAUGGAAGAGAAGAGAGCGAGUGAGGGAUGAGGGCCGCUGCUGUGAGUGGUUCUUUGGCAGUGUCUUAGCUGGUUGUUGUGUGGAGUGAGAACGAAGCAAUCAGCAAGUAUACUGCCGCAGAAACUCGUCACCUUGGGAGGCCCCUGCAAACGACCCCGCUCACGCACUCAGCUGCCCACCCGCGCUCAGCUGCUGGAGAGAGAGAGACGAGAAUAGAGAAACCUUAGUUUGUACUCAUUAUCAAACUUCUCUUUCCAUUCAUUCUUCUUCUAAUUGUGAGUGUCAGCUUCUGUUUAUUGGCACCGCUGCUUGAACAUUCACAGCUACUAGAGAUUUUCAAGUGAAAGACUGAUUCAUGCUUACAAUGUGUUGGAUCAUAUUUUCUGUGACAUUGUAGUCAUAGUUUAGAUCAAUCCAUUGGUUUUAUUCUUUCUCUUCCAUGAGAUCAGGAGUGAUUCAGUCAAGUGUUAUUGUGAAAAUCAGCUGACUAGAUUUCACAGUUUCAGUAUUGCCAUGACGUGGUGUGGCCUGUUAAUAUUUGGCCUACGUAGCUUACAGUCAUGUGACAUAUUCAUAUUGUGUUAUGAUGUGUUUAUUUUGAAAUUUGAAAUUGUUUGUGUGUGUGUUUAAUAACAUAAUAAAACAUUUUAUAAUAAAAUGUUUUGUAAUAUU
ensembl:lncRNA